GGCUUCCCUGGCCCCGGAGACACUUCUGGGCUUCAGGUGUUUGUCCUCCCAUCCCCACCCCUCACGCAUACACCAGCAGGAGGAACAGGCAGGGUCCCAGCUCACUGGAUGGCACCACCCACUUUCAAGAAGGGUCUUCCGCCUCAGUUAAACCUCCCUGGGAACAGCCUCAUGGACACACCUAGUUGACUCCACAGCUAGUCAAGUGGACAAUGAAAAGGAGCCGUUGAAUGUCUA